GCCCGGGUGGCGUAAUUGGUAGCCGCAGGAGACUUAAAAUUUCCCGCUCUUAACGAGCGUGUGGGUUCGAUUCCCACCCCGGGCA
rnacentral:tRNA from 1 species